UAUAUAACAAAAAAAUCUUAGGGGCCUUCAUUUGUAAUUUUCCCAUCAACUCUCAUAUAUUAUUUUUGUUUUCCCUCUUUGUCGGUGAGCUACAGACCAGAGGAGAGAGACUUCAACUUUUCUAGAAAUUUCGACCAUCCCAACUCUUCACUCCACCGUCCAGCUCAUCAUCGGUGAUGUGGGUCACUAGUGAUAUUCUCCUUCCCUUCUGUUCUUCGCUCCUUCUCCUCUGUUCGUUUCUCUGUCGUGGGUGUUAUCGGAACUUUCCUUUCGUCUGAGAGCAAGAGAGAUUCAUUGCUCAGAAGCUUCAAGUCAUUCGAUCCAGCACCUCUGUCCUUUUGCUAUUCAACAUGCUAUUGAUGAGAAUAGGAGUUCCGCUUACUGUCGCUGAGAUGUCCGCCCAGAACCACAGCGUUGUGGUGCAAACCGUAAUAGAGUAGUUAAAGGACAAUUGAGAGGUUUAUGAGGCACAAGCUAUUAUUUUGGGUGUUUAACAGGUAGUAUAAGUUGAGCUUAUAUAUCAAGGUGUUACUUGAGGCAUUUUAUCACUAAAGUGGAGUGGAAGAAUUAUUUCAAACAAGUUUUGCUUGAUGAAAAUUUGAACCCUGUAUUAAUUUCAUGGCCUGGUCCUAACUGCUCCACGUAUAAUGUAGGUAGGAUUCUCAUCUUUCUUUAAAGACUGUAUAUAUUUUAGUAGGGAGCGAGAUCCUUUUAUUUAAUUAUUAUUAUUCCUUGUCAUACAUUUAGGAAGUCUUGUUUAUAUGAAAGUUCUCUUAAGAAUUUUAUAAAAAAAAUAAAAAUAAAAAUAUGCCUAUAGUUUUGCAUGGACCAGAGUAUAUUUGUUCAAGGCUUAAGGGAUAUGGGUUUUAUACACAUAUUCCGUGCUGGUCACGCCUUAAAUUUUUGG